CACUGAAAUAUCGGGGCAUUCGACAAGGUGUGGCACAGGUGUUUGCUAUCUGAACUUCCCUCCUAUGGUCUCUGUAAGGUUAGUGUUAGGUUAGGUUAGGUUAAAAGAUGGAAGUUUUGCUGUUACCACGGACAUAUCGGGGCAUUCGACAAGGUGUGGCACAGGUGUUUGCUAUCUGAACUUCCCUCCUAUGGUCUCUGUAAGGCUAGUGUUAGGUUAGGUUAGGUUAAAAGAUGGAAGUUUUGUUGUUGCCACUGAAAUAUCGGAGCAUUCGACAAGGUGUGGCACAGGUGUUUGCUAUCCGAACUUCCGUCCUAUGGUCUCUGUAAGGUUAGUGUUAGGUUAGGUUAGGUUAAAAGAUGGAAGUUUUGUUGUUGCCACUGAAAUAUCGGAGCAUUCGACAAGGUGUGGCACAGGUGUUUGCUAUCUGAACUUCCCUCCUAUGGUCUCUGUAAGGCUAGUGUUAGGUUAGGUUAGGUUAAAAGAUGGAAGUUUUGUUGUUGCCACUGAAAUAUCGGGGCAUUCGACAAGGUGUGGCACAGGUGUUUGCUAUCCCAACUUCCCUCCUAUGGUCUCUGUAAGGUUAGUGUUAGGUUAGGUUAAGUUAAAAGAUGGAAGUUUUGUUGUUGCCACUGAAAUAUCGGGGCAUUCGACAAGGUGUGGCACAGGUGUUUGCUAUCCGAACUUCCCUCCUAUGGUCUCUGUAAGGUUAGUGUUAGGUUAGGUUAGGUUAAAAGAUGGAAGUUUUGCUGUUGCCAUGGACAUAUCGGAGCAUUCGACAAGGUGUGGCACAGGUGUUUGCUAUCUGAACUUCCCUCCUAUGGUCUCUGUAAGGCUAGUGUUAGGUUAGGUUAGGUUAAAAGAUGGAAGUUUUGUUGUUGCCACUGAAAUAUCGGGGCAUUCGACAAGGUGUGGCACAGGUGUUUGCUAUCCGAACUUCCCUCCUCCCUCCAUAACUCUUCCCUUCUACCCCACACACACACACAGACCCACCCUUCC